UACAGAGGGUGCAAGCGUUAAUCGGAAUUACUGGGCGUAAAGCGCGCGUAGGCCGUCGAGUAAGUCGGAUGUGAAAUCCCCGGGCUUAACCUGGGAAUUGCAUUCGAUACUGCUUGACUAGAGUGUGGAAGAGAGAAGCGGAAUUUCCGGUGUAGCGGUGAAAUGCGUAGAUAUCGGAAGGAACACCAGUGGCGAAGGCGGCUUCCUGGUCCAACACUGACGCUGAGGCGCGAAAGAGUGGAGAGCGAACAGG
rnacentral:rRNA from 1 species